rnacentral:rRNA from 1 species
GAUGAACGCUGGCGGCGUGCCUAAUACAUGCAAGUCGAGCGAACAGACGAGGAGCUUGCUCCUCUGACGUUAGCGGCGGACGGGUGAGUAACACGUGGAUAACCUACCUAUAAGACUGGGAUAACUUCGGGAAACCGGAGCUAAUACCGGAUAAUAUAUUGAACCGCAUGGUCCAACAGCGAAAGACUGUUUUGCUGUCACUUAUAGAUGGAUCCGCGCCGCAUUAGCUAGUUGGUAAGGUAACGGCUUACCAAGGCAGCGAUGCGUAGCCGACCUGAGAGGGUGAUCAGCCACACGGGAACUGAGAAACGGUCCAGACUCCUACGCGAAGCCGCAGUAGAGAAUCUUCCGCAAUGGGCGAAUGCCUGACGGAGCAACGCCGGGUGAGUGAUGAAGGUGUUCGGAUGGUAGAACGCUGUUAUUAGGGGAGAACAAAAGUGUAAGUAACUAUGCCCAUCUUGACGGUACCGAAGCAAAAAGCCACGGCUAACUACGUG